GACGAACGCUGGCGGCGUGCCUAAUACAUGCAAGUCGAGCGAGACUCUUCGGAGUCUAGCGGCGGACGGGUGAGUAACACGUGGGCAACCUGUCUGUAAGACUGGGAUAACACCGGGAAACCGGUGCUAAUACCGGAUAAUACUUUUUCUCUCAUGAGGCAAAGCUGAAAGUCGGUUUCGGCUGACACUUACAGAUGUGCCCGCGGCGCAUUAGCUAGUUGGUGAGGUAACGGCUCACCAAGGCGACGAUACGUAGCCGACCUGAGAGGGUGAUCGGCCACACUGGGACUGAGACACGGCCCAGACUCCUACGGGAGGCAGCAGUAGGGAAUCUUCCACAAUGGACGAAAGUCUGAUGGAGCAACGCCGCGUGAGCGAUGAAGGCCUUCGGGUCGUAAAGCUCUGUUGUUAGGGAAGAACAAGUAUCGGAGUAACUGCCGGUACCUUGACGGUACCUAACCAGAAAGCCACGGCUAACUACGUGCCAGCCGCCGCGGUAACAC
rnacentral:rRNA from 1 species